UAUCAAAUCCCUAAGUUCCUAACUCUUUAUCUCUCUCUCUCGAUCGACUACCUCCUCCGCCCCCAGUCCGCUGCGCCGCCUCCCUCGGUCCGACUCACCUCCGGCAGCCUCCCUCUGGUCCGACCGUCCCCCGAUCUGACUCCGUCUGCCCCACCCCGUAAUCCGCCUCUACCUCCCAUCAAAUCCUCCGCCCCAUCAAAUGGAGACUUAAAUCGAGCCCUAAUCUCCCAACCCUCUGCAAUCGACCGUGGUCCGAGCAUCCACCAAUGCUGCCAGAAGCUGACGCCGUCGACCGUUGCACGUUCCGUCCGAUGACUAAGCCUCUGCUCCCAUUCCCGGCGGCGAAGCCGGACAAAGCCUCUACUUCCGCUCCACACGCUGUCGCACCGACGUUUCUCCCUCUCUUGUCUCAGGGUUUAGGUCUCUCUCACACAUUCUCUAUCUCUCUCUCUCUCUCUCUCAUACACAAUUUCUAUAUAUCUUCUUCUCUAUCUAAUUGCUCUUCCUCUUUCUCUCUAACAAUGUGUCUUUCCCUCCCCAGGCCGAUUGCAGCUGUGAGUUUUCUUCCUUGCAUUAUUUGUCUCCAAAUGUGAGAUUGGGCUCUUUUUUUUGGAUUUCUAACAAUUUGCAACUUUGCUUUGUUUGUGAGGCUAUUGUUGUUGAUGAAUUUUGGGGCUAUUGCAGUUUUGAUGAAUUUGAAAUUGGUGGUGAUGGUUGCAGCUGUGAGUUUUCUUCCUUGCAUUAUUUGUCUCCAAAUGUGAGAUUGGGCUCUUUUUUUUGGAUUUCUAAAAAUUUGCAACUUUGCUUUGUUUGUGAGGCUAUUGUUGUUGAUGAAUUUUGGGGCUAUUGCAGUUUUGAUAAAUCAACGGGGUAUACAGAUCUCACACCCUCUCUAUAUUUUUGGUGCAAUUAUGUACUUAGAUUUCAUGUAUAAAAGAAUAAAACACAUAGAGAGAGUUGGCAUGCUCUGAAAACGAUUUGUUUAUCUGCUGCAGCUGAGAGGAGCAAAAAUUCUGAAAAUGAAUUCAAAACCCUCCCAAAUGGUCUCAAGUUAGUAUAUGAUAACAACUCUCAAAUUCUUUGCUUUUACAUUUUAAGUAUAAACUGCUAAGUCUUAUAAUCAUUUAUGUUUAUGUAUUAGUAUUAGCAUUAUUAAGCUAUUUUGUAAGGCAUGUAGUUGCUGAAUUUGAUGAUAGCUAGGCUUGAUUUUGGUAUGUACUAUGAUUUGAAGACUAGAGACGGACUUGAAGCUGUAAAGGGAUCUCGGGUUAUAGUAUGAUUGUGGCACAGUCAACACUUGGCUAUGCUCCUAAUUGGUAAGUCUAGGAAGAAGUUGCUGAGUAUAUGUAUUUGAUUGUGUAAAUCUGUCAAUUGAUAUCUCGCCUGUCAUCAUGGACCAAUUUUGUUUGGGCUUUCUGGAGCUUCAUAUUCAAUCCAUAUGCACUUUAGGAAUACUGAUUCUAGUCUCAUUAGUUCCUUUUUUGAUGACAUUGAUGAAGCUAUUGAUUUUUAUUCUGAAGAUAGUUUUUUUUUUUCAUGAUUAACCUGCGGCUUUGCACUUAAUGCAAGAUGAUAAUCUACGGGGGCUUAUGCCUUCGAUGGAAGCUACUUCAGAUGGCCUAACCACAUCUGCUUCUUGAGGACUAUGAGGGGCUGCAGAAGAAUUGCAGCACGAACAUGAGUGCGAUUUUAUUACAGGAAUUGCCAAGAGAGAUACAACAACCCUAGAGGAAGAGAGCUGGCAAUAGUCCGAGUGCUAGCACUGUGUUGAAAUGCAAUCACCCAUGCCAAUGGCAGUAAGAGCAGUCGAUGUGAGCUUCUGCUAUCGGACACUCGCAAAGGUGAUACCCCGAGGCUGCUCUACAUUUACAAAAGAUGGGGCAUCUUGCAUUUACACUAUCAAAGAAGGGGCUGGGUCGGGGCCGGGGUCGUUUGUUGUGAGGAAAACCUAUUCAGGUGUGGCGAAUGCAAAGCCAACAUCAUCUUCUAAGUACUCCAUAGAACAAAAUAAAAUCUCUAAUGAUGUAGUGAACAUUCGUAUACUAACACAACACAAACAUAUUAAUGAGAGAUGCUAUGAUUCUGUUUAAAUAAUGCUGCUCCUUGAUUUUGCAUUUAUAAUGCAAUUUGUGAUACUGCUGCUAUACCCAGAGAGAGAGGAGAGAGUUGUGGCAGUUAACUAGGAUAAUGUCAUAUAGCCUAUUGCAUAGCUGCUACCCUUAUCCUUGGCAAAUAUACUGAAAAUUCAAGGAGAAUAGUUGUUUUGUGGUAGUAGUAUUUGUGAGCUCUUUUUGUUCUUUUACUCCAUACACCGUUGAGAUUUUGUUUUGUUGUUAGUUUUUGUAUUCUGUGUCUAAAGUGGUUGCUGAGAAAGCUGCAUGACAAUUUGUGGAGGAAAAUGGCGUGGACAUAGUCGUGCUGAAUCCAGGAGUGGUGGCUGGUCCUAUUAUGGUGCAGCUUUUUAGAUGUUGUAGGAUUGUCAUAUGAAAAAUACUAUUAUGCUGUAGCUUUUUGGAUAUUCAUUAUAGUGUUGGGACAUGUUGUAAAACAAUGGAUCUUGUUUUGUGGAUGUUGGAUUAUUAGUUGUUAUCAAUGUUUAAAUGAGCAUUUUCAGUA